UACGUAGGGUGCAAGCGUUGUCCGGAAUUAUUGGGCGUAAAGAGCUCGUAGGCGGCUCGUCACGUCGGCUGUGAAAACCCGGGGCUCAACCCCGGGCCUGCAGUCGAUACGGGCGAGCUAGAGUUCGGCAGGGGAGGCUGGAAUUCCUGGUGUAGCGGUGAAAUGCGCAGAUAUCAGGAGGAACACCGGUGGCGAAGGCGGGUCUCUGGGCCGAUACUGACGCUGAGGCGCGAAAGCGUGGGGAGCGAACAGG
rnacentral:rRNA from 1 species